GAAUUUUUGGAAGUGAAAUUGCUAACCCAAAGGACACAGACAUUUUUAAUUUUUUUUUCCCCAGUUGGCCCACCGGAAAUACUUUGCUUCAUUUUUAUUCUUCCUCCAAGCUUACCUGUUUCGUCACAUCCUCCCUAACGGUGGGCGUCAUCGUUCCAUUCACCUUUGUUCACAGGACGGGCACUACGUACCCCCUCAUUCGUUGCUGGACCUCACGCUCCGAGGAGCCGAGCCACACCCCGGUGCAAUGUCUGGCACAUAUUUGGUGCAUGGAAAGCUCUCACCCGUGGCACUGGCUGUCACUCAGCAAGUGGAGACUGUCCAGGCAGGAUCCUCUGCUCCAUCCCCAGCAGCAGCCCCCCCGGAUCGAGCCUGGUGCAGAGAACAGGGCAACCAGGAGGGUCCCUAUGCUCCCUAGGCCCUGCUCUCUACUUCUUCUUCAAUCAUCAAACAAGCAUGUUUUGGUUUAUAAAGUUCUUUCUCAGAUGCCUCUGCCUGUGAGGUAGAAACCCCCUUCUGAUUGUGGAGGACACUGCCAGUCUGUAGUAGUGGCAGGGGAACACAUGCUGAUUUUGUUGGUGUAGAUUAGUUUCCUGUCAUGUAUUAUGCUAGGCCAAGUCUCCUCCCGGGGGGCGGGGCAGCACCAGGGCCUGGUUGUCCCAUCUGACAUAGGUCACCUCUCUUCCCUUUGCUAGAGCACCAAGGCUUAGGCUUUUCCCUUUUCUCCCUUAAAUAUCAACUUAACUCAUCCCUGACUUUUUCUUUCUGUUACCCUCUCUCCUCUCCUUUCGCUCUUUCUGUUUCCUCUCUUCUUCCUCUCUCCCCCUCCCCCAUCUCUCACCAUACAUUUAUUUUUUUUCUUAUUGUGCAUGCCCAAGAAUCCGUGUGCAUGGCCAUGGAGGUAGCCCCAAAUGGUUCUGAGGCUGACAACUGGAUGGAAGACCUACAGGGAGGGAUAUAACCUCUUGAUGCACACCUCUUCUGGCUGGCUAUUGGUGUGUAAACCAAAAUAAAACAUGUAAUGGUGUGAAGUGCA
rnacentral:lncRNA from 12 species